rnacentral:rRNA from 1 species
GACGAACGCUGGCGGCGUGCUUAACACAUGCAAGUCGAACGGUAAGGCCCUUCGGGGUACACGAGUGGCGAACGGGUGAGUAACACGUGGGUGAUCUGCCCUGCACUUCGGGAUAAGCCUGGGAAACUGGGUCUAAUACCGGAUAGGACCACUGCCUGCAUGGGUGGUGGUGGAAAGCUUUUGCGGUGUGGGAUGGGCCCGCGGCCUAUCAGCUUGUUGGUGGGGUGAUGGCCUACCAAGGCGACGACGGGUAGCCGGCCUGAGAGGGUGACCGGCCACACUGGGGCUGGGAUACGGCCCAGACUCCUACGGAGGGCAGCAGUGGGGAAUAUUGCACAAUGGGCGCAAGCCUGAUGCAGCGACGCCGCGUGAGGGAUGACGGCCUUCGGGUUGUAAACCUCUUUCAGCACCGACGAAGCGCAAGUGACGGUAGGUGCAGAAGAAGGACCGGCCAACUACGUGCCAGCCGCCGCCGCCG